GCGAGAGUGCUGGAAUCGGUAGACAGGCACGUUUGAGGGGCGUGUGUCAUUGGCGUGUGGGUUCAAGUCCCAUCUCUCGCACCA
rnacentral:tRNA from 1 species